rnacentral:rRNA from 1 species
UACGAAGGGGGCAAGCGUUGUUCGGAUUUACUGGGCGUAAAGGGCGCGUAGGCGGCCUUCUAAGUCGAACGUGAAAUCCCCGGGCUCAACCCGGGAACUGCGUCCGAUACUGGAAGGCUUGAAUCCGGGAGAGGGAUGCGGAAUUCCAGGUGUAGCGGUGAAAUGCGUAGAUAUCUGGAGGAACACCGGUGGCGAAGGCGGCAUCCUGGACCGGUAUUGACGCUGAGGCGCGAAAGCCAGGGGAGCAAACGGG